AAAAAAGGUCUAGACUGGUCCUGAUUUUGUUAUAUUUAAUAUGAAUUUCAUAACUUUGCCUCCAUUUUAAUCUAUAAAGUCUGGAUUUUUUCCCUUUAAUUUAAAUUACCUGGUUUUGAAAUUGCUGACUGCAACUCUUUGGGGGUAUUCACUUCCAGAAGCUGCUGGGGAAGAAGGACUGAUCCUGAAUGCCAGAGGAAGCAGAUAAAAAGAAGAGAAGGAAAUCUUAUGCAAAGAGACUGUAAUGAUGCUGUAACUCUAUGACAUCAGCUGCUGUUUGCCAGCAUAGUGCAUAGCAGAUACUUGUAGAGGAGAAUGAC
rnacentral:lncRNA from 1 species